rnacentral:snRNA from 1 species
GUGCUCGCUUCGGCAGCACACAUACUAAAAUUGGAACGAUAUACAGAAGAUUAGAAUGGCCCCUGCACAAGGAUGACACGCAAAUUCGUGAAGCGUUCCCUAUUUUU